AACGAACGCUGGCGGCAGGCCUAACACAUGCAAGUCGAGCGGACCCUUCGGGGUUAGCGGCGGACGGGUGAGUAACGCGUGGGAACGUGCCCUUUGCUUCGGAAUAGCCCUGGGAAACUGGGAGUAAUACCGGAUACGCCCUUUUGGGGAAAGAUUUAUCGGGGAAGGAUCGGCCCGCGUUGGAUUAGGUAGUUGGUGGGGUAAUGGCCUACCAAGCCGACGAUCCAUAGCUGGUUUGAGAGGAUGAUCAGCCACACUGGGACUGAGACACGGCCCAGACUCCUACGGGAGGCAGCAGUGGGGAAUCUUAGACAAUGGGGGAAACCCUGAUCGAGCCAUGCCGCGUGAGCGAUGAAGGCCUUAGGGUUGUAAAGCUCUUUCACCGGGGAAGAUAAUGACGGUACCCGGAGAAGAAGCCCCGGCUAACUCCGUG
rnacentral:rRNA from 1 species